rnacentral:rRNA from 1 species
UAAUGCCACCCAAUCUGCCUGGUACUGGGGGAUAACGUUCGGAAACGGACGCUAAUACCGCACACGUCCUACGGGAGAAAGCAGGGGACCUUCGGGCCUUGCGCUAUCAGAUGAGCCUAUGUCGGAUUACCUAGUUGGUGAGGUAAUGGCUCACAAAGGCGACCAUCCCUAACUGGUCUGAGAGGAUGAUCAUUCACACUGGAACUGACACACGGUCCAUACUCCUACGGCAGGCAUCCUUGGGGAAUAUUGGACAAUGGGCGAAAGCCUGAUCCAGCCAUGCCGCGUGUGUGAAGAAGGUCUUCGGAUUGUAAAGCACUUUAAGUUGGGAGGAAGGGUUGUAGAUUAAUACUCUGCAAUUUUGACGUUUCCGACCUAAUAAGCACCGGCUAACUCUGUGCCAGCAGCCGCGGUAAUACAGAGGGUGCAAGCGUUAAUCGGAAUUACUGGGCGUAAAGCGCGCGUAGGUGGUUUGUUAAGUUGGAUGUGAAAUCCCCGGGCUCAACCUGGGAACUGCAUUCAAAACUGACUGACUAGAGUAUGGUAGAGGGUGGUGGAAUUUCCUGUGUAGCGGUGAAAUGCGUAGAUAUAAGAAGGAACACCAGUGGCGAAAGCCACCACCUGAACUAAUACUGACACUGAGGUGCUAAAGCUUGGGGAGCAAACAGGAUUAGAUACCCUGGAUUCCACGCCGUAAACG